GCGAACGGGUGAGUAAUACGUGAGUAACCUGCCCUUGACUCUGGGAUAAGCCCGGGAAACUGGGUCUAAUACUGGAUGCUACAUGUCACCGCAUGGUGGUGUGUGGAAAGGGUUUACUGGUCUUGGAUGGGCUCACGGCCUAUCAGCUUGUUGGUGAGGUAAUGGCUCACCAAGGCGACGACGGGUAGCCGGCCUGAGAGGGUGACCGGCCACACUGGGACUGAGACACGGCCCAGACUCCUACGGGAGGCAGCAGUGGGGAAUAUUGCACAAUGGGCGAAAGCCUGAUGCAGCGACGCCGCGUGAGGGAUGACGGCCUUCGGGUUGUAAACCUCUUUCAGCAGGGAAGAAGCCACAAGUGACGGUACCUGCAGAAGAAGCGCCGGCUAACUACGUGCCAGCAGCCGCGGUAAUACGUAGGGCGCAAGCGUUGUCCGGAAUUAUUGGGCGUAAAGAGCUCGUAGGCGGUUUGUCGCGUCUGCUGUGAAAGCCCGGGGCUUAACCCCGGGUGUGCAGUGGGUACGGGCAGACUAGAGUGCAGUAGGGGAGACUGGAAUUCCUGGUGUAGCGGUGGAAUGCGCAGAUAUCAGGAGGAACACCGAUGGCGAAGGCAGGUCUCUGGGCUGUUACUGACGCUGAGGAGCGAAAGCAUGGGGAGCGAACAGGAUUAGAUACCCUGGUAGUCCAUGCCGUAAACGUUGGGCACUAGGUGUGGGGGACAUUCCACGUUUUCCGCGCCGUAGCUAACGCAUUAAGUGCCCCGCCUGGGGAGUACGGCCGCAAGGCUAAAACUCAAAGGAAUUGACGGGGGCCCGCACAA
rnacentral:rRNA from 1 species